rnacentral:SRP_RNA from 1 species
GCCAGGUGUGGUGGCGCAUGCCUGUAAUCCCAGCUACUCAGGAGGCUGAGGCAGGAGAAUUGCUUGAGCCCAGGAGGCAGAGGCUGCAGUGAGCUGAGAUUGCACCACUGCAUUCCAGCCUGGGCAACAAAGCUAGACUCUGUUUCAA